rnacentral:rRNA from 1 species
AUUGAACGCUGGCGGCAGGCUUAACACAUGCAAGUCGAGCGGGGUGAUGGUGCUUGCACUAUCACUUAGCGGCGGACGGGUGAGUAAUGCUUAGGAAUCUGCCUAUUAGUGGGGGACAACAUCUCGAAAGGGAUGCUAAUACCGCAUACGUCCUACGAGAGAAAGCAGGGGAUCACUUGUGACCUUGCGCUAAUAGAUGAGCCUAAGUCGGAUUAGCUAGUUGGUGGGGUAAAGGCCUACCAAGGCGACGAUCUGUAGCGGGUCUGAGAGGAUGAUCCGCAACACUGGGACUGGGACACGGCCCAGACUCCUACGGGAGGCAGCAGUGGGGAAUAUUGGACAAUGGGGGGAACCCUGAUCCAGCCAUGCCGCGUGUGUGAAGAAGGCCUUAUGGUUGUAAAGCACUUUAAGCGAGGAGGAGGCUCUUUUGGUUAAUACCCAAGAUGAGUGGACGUUACUCGCAGAAUAAGCACCGGCUAACUCUGUGCCAGCCGCCGCAGUAA